rnacentral:lncRNA from 1 species
AUCUAUAGAAAAAGGUAAGUAGGUUUAGUAACCAGCAAUAAUCACAUUUUUGGACUCUUCUUAUGAAGUGUGAGCGUGCUAAGGAGACUUAACUACUCAAUCAUGGGUACUUCAAUCUGAGAAUUUUUUGCAUCCUUGUCGUUUCCUUUCUAUAUAUCCUCUGAAAUAACAAUCAAGAUGUACACCAUGAAAAUCAUGCUAAUCCAACUAUCUGGUGUGUAGGUCAUCAUUGUACGACUUCCAUUCUGCUCCAUACAAUAUUCAUUCUCCAUGAUUGAGUGGUAGUUUGUUACUGUUUCGAAGAGUCAAGGUAACUCAUGUGCUCGAAUCAUUCUCGCUCUCACAUAUAUGUUCAUGUUAUACUUUAUUGAUUUUUUAGGUCUAUUUUACAGGUUUGGAAUACAAUUUCAGUUGCCUUCAUUCAUGGUCAAGGCUUCGGGUGAGUUAUUGCACACCUCCUUUAUAAUAUUGUAGUGAUUUAGUUAAUUUCAAUUGCAAUGCAUUCAGCAACAUUUAUAAUGGUUAUUCUAUGAAGUAUUGAAAAAUUAGACGCGAUCUUUUCUUCAAGAUGGUGCGGGUUAGUAUUGGUGUUGCGUUUCCAUCACAUGGGAAAA